rnacentral:rRNA from 1 species
AGCGAACGCUGGCGGCAGGCUUAACACAUGCAAGUCGAGCGGGCGUAGCAAUACGUCAGCGGCAGACGGGUGAGUAACGCGUGGGAACGUACCUUUUGGUUCGGAACAACACAGGGAAACUUGUGCUAAUACCGGAUAAGCCCUUACGGGGAAAGAUUUAUCGCCGAAAGAUCGGCCCGCGUCUGAUUAGCUAGUUGGUGAGGUAACGGCUCACCAAGGCGACGAUCAGUAGCUGGUCUGAGAGGAUGAUCAGCCACAUUGGGACUGAGACACGGCCCAAACUCCUACGGGAGGCAGCAGUGGGGAAUAUUGGACAAUGGGCGCAAGCCUGAUCCAGCCAUGCCGCGUGAGUGAUGAAGGCCCUAGGGUUGUAAAGCUCUUUUGUGCGGGAAGAUAAUGACGGUACCGCAGAUAAGC